rnacentral:rRNA from 1 species
GACCUCGAAUCAGGUGGGACUACCCGCUGAACUUAA